AAUUUCUACAAAGUCAAUCUUUAUUUUGCAUUGUGUAUAAAUUUGUCUGUCACAAAAUUUGUUUUGCUUAAUAUUCAUAUGUUGAGUAGUUUCUUUGUGGUGAAGUUACUAUAGAGCAACUUAGAAGUUAAAGAAUUUUAGAGUUGAUAUAAUGGUACUUGUACUCACAAUGCAAUUAUGAAUACCACGUGAUAUCUCAUCGCAAAUCCUCACAGCAGGUCGUUUUACAAAUGAGCCUCAUUUUGGAUGAUGGCAGUGGCCUAUAGUAAAUAAUAUAAGAAAAAAGAUUGCAAAAAUAAUAAAAACACUAAAUUAAAGAAUGGCUUCAUGUAUACACCUUGGUUCUUACUAUGACGACUUUGAAAUAAAUGGCAGAUGAAUCAAGAGAACGUUAGAAAUGUUAGUACGUAUCCAUGGUUUUAUAACAAACAUGUAGCUAUUCAAUUUGCAGAUUGAAGACCUCUCCAUUUCAAGGAAGAAAAGAAUUUCUGUUGGAAUUGAAAGUUUUUAUAGUUCGAAUACCGCAGUGUUAUUCUGAAAUAUUGGAGCCAAUGAUAGUUUUAUAACGAGUAUUUAUUACAAAGCGUUACAGCUGAAACUAUAACAACUCAUUUUGAAUGGAGAAAUCAAAAAAUAAUUUAAUUGGUUUUAUAUACCAAAAUAUGCAACAAGUUUUUAUGAAUGCACUUAAGGACGAAUCCCAUAAAAAAGAACUUGAUGACGUUUAUAAAACAUCUUAAAAGUUUGAACUGAUUGCUUUAUUUCAAAAAGAACCUAAGUGCUGAUGAAAAACUUUAUACCUCACGUGGUUAUUUUGGCUUCUCAGUUUAUGCCUGAAAACUAAAGUCGUAGGCAAAAGAUUGGUCUCCGCUUUAAAAUGCAAUUUUCAAUAAAAGCAUACAUUGUCUAAAUUAAGUAAAAUUUAUUUUACAGUUUUUAAAAUAAUUAUUUAUUAAAAUUUUAAAAAUUAAAAUUUUGAUCAAUAGCUUUUGAUGUUAUUCAUAUUUUCAUCAAUACGUCUUUGAGAAAUCAGAUUUUUAAAACUAA